UACAGAGGUGGCAAGCGUUGUUCGGAAUUACUGGGCGUAAAGGGCGCGUAGGCGGCCAUCUAAGUCAGACGUGAAAUCCCCCGGCUUAACCUGGGAACUGCGUCUGAUACUGGAAGGCUUGAGUAUGGGGAGAGGGAUGUAGAAUUCCAGGUGUAGCGGUGAAAUGCGUAGAUAUCUGGAGGAAUACCGGUGGCGAAGGCGGCAUCCUGGACCAUUACUGACGCUGAGGCGCGAAAGCUAGGGGAGCAAACGGG
rnacentral:rRNA from 1 species